AGCGUCUUCAGCUCGCUGCUCCCACGGGACGUGGCGGUCAGCCUUCUGUUCGGCUCACCGAUGCGACGGCGACACGUUAUCAGGUCAUGUGACCGUCAUAGCAGCGACCCUAUUGGUCAUGUUCUUCUUCUGCUACUUUCAAUGCCACCGUGGAACAACUUGGAGGGCGCAGUAGCGACACCUGCUGGGCCGAGAAGGAAGCGCGUGGGCAUUCAUAAAGAAAAGUGAACACGUCUUUUCGUCGUCCAUCAUUUCAGACUCAAUCCCGAUGUUGUCUCCAUAGAACUAAACUACUCAACAACGUUGCCCACACACACACAUGCUGAGUGAGACGAGAAGAGCCCAGCGUUGUCCUGUGGGCCGAUGCGGUGGCAGUGGUUGGUUCCGAGGUCAUUCUUGAAGAUGCGUCGCAGCAGUAUGAGGACCCAGUCCUCAUGAUGUCUGUUGUGUAGACUUUUAAAAGCAUAAUCCACAUAUUCAUCGACAGAUUAUUCAACAUGACCAGAACAACUAGUUGAAAAGAACUUGUGGAACACAAAUGGAUUUCAGAAAGACACUUCUGUUUGUCGUUGUUGGAUCGGUUCCUCCACACAUACACACAGAGAAUGUCCAGCGCUCUUCUGCUCGGCCGGUGGGGCAGGUCAUCACGUCCAGGAGGCAGUUCUACACUAGUCAGGACAUCAUGAUUCAUUCUACUGCUCACCUGUUGUUCUGGGAAGUUGAUUUACCUCAAAGAAAUGACGUGCUGAUAGACAGAUGUCUCUGUCAAAGUCUAUGAGAAAGUCAUGUUGGGCCUCAUCUGACAGACCCGGAUGUUGUAAUCACACGGUUUGGCCACUGUCAGAACACCCGGAGCAACAAGGAGCGCUGGAGAAAUGAACAUUUACAUGAGGUGGAAUAUUUCUAUUUCAUCAUCUGCAUCAACGGAUGCCUAAAUAUAUUAAAUCAGAGGAUGAAAGGAGUAACUCCAAAACCUCAAUGAACUCUGCCAGAUCAAACACUCAUCACACCGUGGAAUUCCUUCAAUGUAAAAUGCAAAGCAGCAUCAAAACCCUGCUGCACCGUGAGGUCGGCUGUCUCGUCUUCCUUUCCUCACCUUUUGGAAGAGCCAAACGCAUGAUUUCAAUUGUUAUAAUAAUAUAGUUUAAAAAGGUAACUGAAGAUAAAUCUUUUUCAUUAUGAUUUGAAAGAAUGUUUAUGUUAACAUCUAUAAUUUAGUAUUGUAUUUAAAAGCUGAAUAAUGUGUCUGAAUGUAAGCUUCCAAUCAGAUGACGUCACGUCAGGAGAACAGCUGCGUGGGACUGUCGUCGUGUUUGAGCUGUUGUUGGAAGCGACAUCGUUUUUUGACCGUGUGAACAUGUACUCUACGUUUUUUAGUAAACAUCAUUUUGAAUAGAGAA